AAAAAGAUAAGCUAAUUAAGCUAUUAGGCCCAUACCCUGAAUAUAGAAGUUAUAGCCUUCUUCUUUUUA
rnacentral:tRNA from 1 species